UACGAAGGGGCUAGCGUUGCUCGGAAUCACUGGGCGUAAAGCGCACGUAGGCGGAUUGCUAAGUCAGGGGUGAAAUCCUGGAGCUCAACUCCAGAACUGCCUUUUGAUACUGGCGAUCUCGAGUCCGGGAGAGGUGAGUGGAACUGCGAGUGUAGAGAUGAAUUCGUAGAUAUUCGCAAGAACACCAGUGGCGAAGGCGGCUCACUGGCCCGGUACUGACGCUGAGGUGCGAAAGGCGUGGGGAGCAAACAGG
rnacentral:rRNA from 1 species